AAGUGGCAGCCUGAGACCAUCUUUGAUAGCCCAGCACCAGCCCUCUACCUUGGGGCAACACUUAGUAGGUAAGGACCUUCCUCCUGGGGAACAAGCUGAGACCUCAGCCUUAAUUUCUCCAAGUGAGGUUCCAGGCUUCUUGUCGUCAGAAAGCUUCUUAAGUGGCAGGCGGUAGUGGCCUGCCUACCUGUUCUCCCUGGAUAGUGUCCAGUUAUCUCCAUGACACAUACUACCCUUGUAAUGGAUGGGUUUUCUGUGGCAACAUCUGGAGGCAGCACCUAGCAUGUGCACCCCAGAUGUUGACCAAUACCUUUGGCCCAGCCAGACCUCACUGAGAUGCUCUGGCUGGGAAGAUGCACCAGAAAGCCAGGAGCAUCCAGCAGCAGGGGCUCUGGCAGUACUGGAGACAAAGCUUAAGACUUCGUAGAACCACUGAGGGCCAGGCUGAGCAGGGGAGGGUGAUGAGGGAGAUGUGCAAAGGGUUAAAGGUGUUCGGGUGACUGCAAUGGCAGCUGCAGCCACGGGACCUGGGAGGUUCCAUUUUCGUCCUCACUUGUUGCAGUUAAAAGCAGACAAAAGCAACUUAAAGAAGAAAGAAUUUGGUUGUAGUGGGCAAGCCAUGGCCAUAGAAGCCUUCUGUGGGGUCUCACACAGCCUCUUACUAUGUAAUUUAGGAUGACCUUGAACUGGUUGUGUCUGUCUGUCUGUCUGUCUUUGUGUCUGUAUAUAUCAGUCCCAUGCAAGUCACCGAAUACAGGUGGAGGUCAGAGGAUAACUUCUGUAAGUCACUUCUCUCCUUUAACUCUGCUUCUAGGGUUUGAAGGCAGAACAUCAGGCCUGUUUGGAAAGUGUUUUACCUUCAGAGCUGCCAUUCUUACCCGACCUUGAACUUCUAAUCUCCCUACCUCUACCUCUUGAGUGCCCAGAUUAUAGGUGUGCAUUCUC
rnacentral:lncRNA from 1 species